ensembl:lncRNA
AAUCUGUUGACCUGGAAUCAUUCAAUUUACAAUCUCCACUCUGUUAACAUUCUGGUUCUAAAUACCCCACGUAUAACAACUGAAUUUGUAAUGUCCGUAACACACGGAUGACGUAAGGCUGUGUCUGACCUGGAGUGCAGCAGCUGAGUCUGACAGCAUCAUCCGCUCACAUCAGGCUUUCCUGCACCGUCAGCAGCGGAUCAGCUUUCUCCAGACACAGAUCUGUGAAUCAUCUCUACAGACCAGCUGUCUGCUGGUAAACACGAGCCAAACCGGCACCGAGACCGGCUGCCCACAAACUCAAUCCUUCCCUCCGGCGGCUGCUAAUGCAGGAUGAGCUCAUGCUCUCAGAGACACACUCACUUAAU